AGAUCUCUCAUUUAUGUAACAUACCCUUGAUUGAACAUCUGUUUCAAACAUUAAUAUAAAAUCCAAAAAUACAUAUCAAACUCAACAUCAAAAUAUAACCAACCAUAUCAUUUACCUAACAUCUGUUUCAAACAUACCAAUCAAAUCCAAAAAUGCAUAUGAAUAAUGAUCAAUAUCAACCAUAUUCUUUACUUAACAUUUGUUUGAAAUAUACAUAUCCAAGAUAAAAAUAAAAAAACAAUCAAUUUCUCCGCCACAAAUUCCACCUCGAUUCCUCUUGCAACGCGGAUGCUUGAAAGUGAUCGAGUUUUUUUCUUUAUUCUUCUCUCAUUUUCCUACUCACUAUCUCUAUAAUCUCCUCCAUCAUCAGCAUCCUCUUCUCCAUCAUCUCCUCCAUCAUCAUCCUCUUAUCCGUCAUCAGUAUCCUCUUCUCCAUCAUCUCCUCCAUUAUCAUCAUCUUCUUCUCUUUCACUUUCAUCACCCUACUCACCCUCACUUUCCACGUCACCACCCAUAGUCCGUGUUAUCUCUUCGACAACUCUCUCCAUAGAAGUGUUAUUUAGUAGCAGAUCAUGAGCUGUCUGUACAUAACGUCUGGAAGCCCUAGCUAAAACUUCACCAUUAAGUGCAGCUUGUAGCAACUCUAUACAUGUAUGUCGCUGCAAGUAGAUAGUAAAAAAAAACAAAAUUGACCAUUAGAUAUAUUUUUCAUAAUUUUAAGAUAUAUUAAAACGAUAAAAUAAGAAAAUACAUAUAAUAAAUACUAUAUCAAUCUAUUAUCUUGGGAUUGGCCUACGGAGGGUUGUACAUGUGAUUGGCUUGCGGAGGGCUGUACAUGCGAAUG
rnacentral:lncRNA from 1 species